CUCCAAGGCUAAAUACUCCUGACUGACCGAUAGUGAACCAGUACCGUGAGGGAAAGGCGAAAAGAACCCCGGCGAGGGGAGUGAAAAAGAACCUGAAACCGUGUACGUACAAGCAGUGGGAGCCUCUUUUAUGGGGUGACUGCGUACCUUUUGUAUAAUGGGUCAGCGACUUAUAUUCUGUAGCAAGGUUAACCGAAUAGGGGAGCCGAAGGGAAACCGAGUCUUAACUGGGCGUUAAGUUGCAGGGUAUAGACCCGAA
rnacentral:rRNA from 1 species